GCCAGCAGCCAAAUCACUCUGCAACUCACAACUGGCAGCCCACUGAAGCUCGGCAGUGUGAGCCUGGCCAGUACCUGGAUGGGAGACCUCCUGGGAAAGCUAAGGCUGCUGGAA
rnacentral:rRNA from 1 species